UAUCAACAGUGCAGGAGUAAAUGUAUUCGCCGCUAUGGUAUAGAUUUUUAGAUAUACGACUAUCGCGCUCGGUGAAUAGCGUGGUUUUGACAGUAGCUAGAUUAGAACCGGAUGCCGUUUGGUUACCAGGGUGACAUUUUCAGGUUUACUACAAUAAGAUGAAUUAGUUGCUCGGAAUUAUGACUUCGUCUGUUUUACAACUUGUUGGGUUGUGACAAAAGCUAAACGCCAAGUCACAAUUCAUGUAUGAUACUUGACGCGCCGCGAUGUAGUGAGUGUUGUGUUUCAUAGCCCCGAAGAAAUGACUUCUAUAUCAGGAAAUUAGCCCGGAUAUAUGCAGUGUAUACCGUUCAAAAGUACAUUUUUAUAUAAAUGAAGUUAGAAAUGGUACUAAGUUUUCAAGAAAUGGAUGUUCAAAUGUAUAUUUAUAUAUUAUUCUAAUACAACUGGGUUGUGCAUUUGUACGUGGAUGUUUUUUCGCUGAAAAUUAAUGAGAACCAAACCAGGAAAGGUUUUCGACAUCAAGUUGUUUUAAAGGAUUAAAAGAAACUUUUUAAAGUCACGUCAGCGAUAAAAGAAAAGAUUCAGAAUAAAGAGAAAAAGUAACUAUGAAUAGCGCCUAUGGGGAAGUGGGCCACCGCUUCCAUAUAAACAAACUUUGUAAUCUAAGAUAAGAGCGUCUGUUCAGUAUAAACUAAAACAGCAUACACAUGUAAACAAUUGUAUACACAGACAGGCCGUGGGCUAACUUAAAUCAUAAAAGAGAAAGUGUUUCUUCAGAUAUUAACAAUGAACGUGCUAACGGAAAUUAAUGGUAAUACGCUGGCUUUAAUCAGUAUGGCGAUAUUAGUGAUGUUAGAUGUAGUAUGCAGCCAAUGUCCACACGAUGCUAUAGAACAGAUGCAAGCGUGUACUGGAAGACAAGGCAAUAUGACUGUUGGCAAAGAUUUACAAAAAGUAGAGCGGUUUUGCAAGAACCUAAUGGAAGUACCCAUCUGUCUAGAAACUAUACUUAAUAAAUGUCAGGAACAUUUGGAUGCCCAACACGCAGACAGUCUCAAACAAACUACUUACCAAUGGAGAGAUAAAUUAGACAAGAUUUGUAGUAAUAUUUCAGCAAAUGGAGCAACGAUAUAUAAUACAAAUUUUCAAUUAGUCUUUGUGAUUCUGAUAUUUAUAAAAAGUAUAUUAUGGAUUGGCAGAACUUGAUUUGUAGAAAAUGACAACGACAAUCAAAACCAAAUUGGUGCUUCUAAAGCGUAGGAGGUGAACAUAUUCAUGGCGAUUUGUUGAAAAAAGUGGCUUAAUUAUAGAUAAUACCUAUUAAGGAUCAAAACAAUAUGGAGAUGAUGAAAAUUCUUCUAUGGAUUUAUUUUCAGAAAAAAUUGGAGUAAUUUCGUUAAACUUGUUAACGAUGGAGCAUUAUUGGGAUACUUCUGUAGUUAUAAAAAAAGAGAAAGUGUGCAAGUUCGCGUUUAAAGAGACCAGCGGAUUUCGUUGUUGUUUUUGUACUCAUCAUCUCGCAUAUGGGCACACAAGAUGAGCAUUAUUCUGUUUUACUUGCAGAGAACUAAACCAUAUCGUUUGUAAUCUUCGUUAACAAGACUUGUGCUUAAUGUUCUGCGAGUAAGAGUGUUCAUAUGUUUUAUCUAAGUGAAGAGACUUGUGCUUUAUUUUAUUAAAU